rnacentral:rRNA from 1 species
CCUACGGGAGGCAGCAGUGGGGAAUAUUGCACAAUGGGGGAAACCCUGAUGCAGCGACGCCGCGUGAGUGAAGAAGUAUUUCGGUACGUAAAGCUCUAUCAGCAGGGAAGAAAAUGACGGUACCUGACUAAGAAGCCCCGGCUAACUACGUGCCAGCAGCCGCGGUAAUACGUAGGGGGCAAGCGUUAUCCGGAUUUACUGGGUGUAAAGGGAGCGUAGACGGCAGCGCAAGUCUGGAGUGAAAUCCCAUGGCUUAACCAUGGAACUGCUUUGGAAACUGUGCAGCUAGAGUGCAGGAGAGGGAAGCGGAAGUCCUAGUGUUGCCGUGAAAUGCGUAGAUAAUAGGAGGAACACCAGUGGCGGAGGCGGCUUACUGGACUGUAACUGACGUUGAGGCUCGAAAGCGUGGGGAGCAAACAGGAUUAGAUACCCUUGUAGUC